GAGUUUGAUCCUGGCUCAGAUUGAACGCUGGCGGCAGGCUUAAUACAUGCAAGUCGAACGGUAACGGCAGGAAGCUUGCUUCCUGGCUGACGAGUGGCGGACGGGUGAGUAAUACCUGGGGAGCUGCCUGAAUGAGGGGGACAACACCUGGAAACGGGUGCUAAUACCGCGUAAGCCCUGAGGGGGAAAGGCCGGGCAACCGGUCGCAUUCAGAUGCGCCCAGGUGGGAUUAGCUAGUUGGUGGGGUAACGGCCUACCAAGGCGACGAUCUCUAGCUGGUCUGAGAGGAUGAUCAGCCACACUGGAACUGAGACACGGUCCAGACUCCUACGGGAGGCAGCAGUAGGGAAUAUUGCACAAUGGGGGGAACCCUGAUGCAGCCAUGCCGCGUGUGUGAAGAAGGCCUUUGGGUUGUAAAGCACUUUCAGUAUGGAGGAAGUGAGCUGAGUUAAUAGCUUAGUUCAUUGACGUUACAUACAGAAGAAGCACCGGCUAACUCCGUGCCAGCAGCCGCGGUAAUA
rnacentral:rRNA from 1 species